CCUACGGGAGGCAGCAGUGGGGAAUUUUGCGCAAUGGGGGCAACCCUGACGCAGCAACGCCGCGUGAGUGAUGAAGGCCUUCGGGUCGUAAAGCUCUGUCAGAGGGGAAGAAAUGCAGGUGGUGAACAACCAUUCUGUUUGACGGUACCCUCAAAGGAAGCACCGGCUAACUCCGUGCCAGCAGCCGCGGUAAUACGGAGGGUGCGAGCGUUGUUCGGAAUUAUUGGGCGUAAAGCGCGUGUAGGCGGUUUGUUAAGUCUGAUGUGAAAGCCCCGGGCUCAACCUGGGAAGUGCAUUGGAUACUGGCAGACUGGAGUACGGGAGAGGAGAGUGGAAUUCCCAGUGUAGGAGUAAAAUCCGUAGAUAUUGGGAGGAACACCAGAGGCGAAGGCGGCUCUCUAUGCUACUCCUGACGCUGAGGCACGAAAGCUGGGGGAGCAAACGGGAUUAGAUACCCCUGUAGU
rnacentral:rRNA from 1 species